AGAAGGAAAAAUUCUAGAAUGCAACGGGUAUAUUAGUGACGUGGCGUAACAAACUAAUCAAAUUAAUCUUUUUAAGAAUAUAUGUCCCAUCAUGAUUGUAAAAAAAUAUUUUUAUUGUACUUUUAUUUGAAAAGAAGAAAUGUGAUUGGCUUGUUAUUGAUGACGUGGUGCAAGUGUGACAGUGUAGAAUUCCUCCCCAAGAAGAGCUUCUCUUGCAUCACCGCAGACUGCACCAGCUAUAUUACUGACGUGACAUUUUUAAUUAAUAAAAUUAUCUCACCUAAUUUUAUUGAUCCUAUUAUGAUUAAUAAUAAAAAAAAUUUUAUUAUAUAUUUUUAAAAUAUAUAUAUAUAUAAUUGAUUUAUUACUGAUGAUGUUAUGUAGGUGUAAUACAGUAAAUAUUCUCUUCUCCUGCACGUGCUAUUUAUUAUCUUUUAUCUUUGGUUUAAUUUGUUGGGAAUUACAAUGCCUACUUGUGGCUUGUGUCGACAUCGCUUAGGCCUACUAAUUUAUGACAUGUUGGAUUCAUAAUUAAAAUAAAAAUAAGAAUUUAAAUUAAAUUAUAUUAGAAAGAAAUAUGAAAUGACAGAUCAUCCAAAAAUACUUGAUUUGUUAUUGAAAUCAAAUUUGGAAUGACUAAUUGAGAGAAUUAUAAUUUUGAGAGAAAAAAAAAUGAUAAAGGAAGAGGAGCAGCUGGAUGUAAAAGAGAACUUAAAAUAGUUUAUUUUGGAAUGAAUCAAUAUAUAAGAUACAAUCGGAUUGGAUCAUAAAUAAAUUGGGUCACUAUUAUUUCAGAGUGGAAUGAAAAUUAUAACUCAAUUUUAUGAAAAAAAAAACAAUUAUAUAUAAAAAUCAGUGAAUCUAAUUUUAAUUCUAGAUUU
rnacentral:lncRNA from 1 species